GGCGGACGGGUUUAGUAACGCGUGGGAACGUGCCCUUCUCUACGGAAUAGCCUCUGGAAACGGAGAGUAAUACCGUAUACGCCCUUUGGGGGAAAGAUUUAUCGGAGAAGGAUCGGCCCGCGUUAGAUUAGGUAGUUGGUGGGGUAACGGCCUACCAAGCCUACGAUCUAUAGCUGGUUUAGAGGAUGAUCAGCAACACUGGGACUGAGACACGGCCCAGACUCCUACGGGAGGCAGCAGUGGGGAAUCUUAGACAAUGGGGGCAACCCUGAUCUAGCCAUGCCGCGUGAGUGAUGAAGGCCUUAGGGUCGUAAAGCUCUUUCGCCUGUGAUGAUAAUGACAGUAGCAGGUAAAGAAACCCCGGCUAACUCCGUGCCAGCAGCCGCGGUAAUACGGAGGGGGUUAGCGUUGUUCGGAAUUACUGGGCGUAAAGCGCGC
rnacentral:rRNA from 1 species